CUCUUACAUUGUUCAUGUGAUUCCACCACUGCCAUCACAAGUUGUUCCGCGAGCUUCCAAAUCCCAUCCGUCACAACUUCCACGCUGGUGCAUGCAGCGAAGUGCUACUGAUUCCUGAAUAUGAUCCGAGUUUCAGAGUUGGUCAUGCUUCCUUGACCUCUUUGCCCUUCACAAACAAAUGGCCCCCGCCCUCAUUGUACCACACGUAUGCAUGCUCGCCGGAGUACUCUGCUUUAAUUUGGUCAAAGUUCUUUUUUUAUCCCACCACAAGUUUUUUUUUCUUCAUAAUAACAUAUACAAUAGUGAUUAACAUAAUGAACUACAUGAGCGACGAUCUACCCAGAUCAACCACUGGAAGAAAGACGGCUGGAAGCUUCAGACAAAAGAAAAAGACGGCCGAGUGGAAGCAGCGAUCGAUCUCGCGGCUUCUCAGCCUGGGCGAAGGCGCGUGACAAAACGCAUGUUCGACAACGGCAUGGUGUCAGAGAGAAGGAUGGAGUCAUGGAGAGACCUCCGUACCUGGCUUGCGGAGACACAGACAGAGCCAGCUGAAAUCGCCAGCCAUGGCCCGAACUUGCCGUCGGGACUC
rnacentral:lncRNA from 1 species